CCCUUUGUGACAUACCUAUAACUGUUGCUUCGGCGGGUAGGGUCUCCGCGACCCUCCCGGCCUCCCGCCUCCGGGCGGGUCGGCGCCCGCCGGAGGAUAACCAAACUCUGAUUUAACGACGUUUCUUCUGAGUGGUACAAGCAAAUAAUCAAAACUUUUAACAACGGAUCUCUUGGUUCUGGCAUCGAUGAAGAACGCAGCGAAAUGCGAUAAGUAAUGUGAAUUGCAGAAUUCAGUGAAUCAUCGAAUCUUUGAACGCACAUUGCGCCCGCCAGCAUUCUGGCGGGCAUGCCUGUUCGAGCGUCAUUUCAACCCUCAAGCUCUGCUUGGUGUUGGGGCCCUACAGCUGAUGUAGGCCCUCAAAGGUAGUGGCGGACCCUCCCGGAGCCUCCUUUGCGUAGUAACUUUACGUCUCGCACUGGGAUCCGGAGGGACUCUUGCCGUAAAACCCCCCAAUUUUCCAAAGGUUGACCUCGGAUCAGGUAGGAAUACCCGCUGAACUUAAGCAUAUC
rnacentral:rRNA from 1 species